rnacentral:ribozyme from 16 species
CAUUCUUCUUUUCCUCCAACUUUUUCCAAUCUUGCUUUGUAACAACCCACACAAAAAAACCAUAUGCCCUCCUUCAUAGUUUUAUCUAAUGCCUUGUUGCACUUGUACAUUGAAAAUUUACUGCUUGGAAAAUAUUUGUAUGUUGUUUUCUUCAAUCAAAAUUCCAAAUUUAACAAAAAUGAAAUAAAAGCUAGAACGUUGAAAAUU